CCCGUUCCCUUUCCGAACACGGCCGUGAAACGCCCCUGCGCCCAUGGUACUUCGUCUUAAGACGCGGGAGAGUAGGUCGCUGCCAGGU
rnacentral:rRNA from 2 species